GUCUACGGCCAUGUCACCCUGAACACGCCCCCGAUCCCGUCUGAUCUCGGAAGCUAAGCAGGGUCGGGCCUGGUUAGUACUUGGAUGGGAGACCACCUAGAAGACCAGGUGCUGUAGGCG
rnacentral:rRNA from 1 species